AUGCAUAGGCCACAACCCGGGGUGCCCAGCAGCCCAAACCAGCACCACGCCGGCCGGGGCACACCACAACACCUUCCCAGAGGGCCGGCUCUGCCAAACAGCUCGGCCAAGCCAGGGAGGCCAGAAGCUGCAGCUCCAGAUCCACCCACGGCCGCCAUGAGCCGCUGGCCCACCACCACGCACGUCCGCCCUGCCGCCCGCGCGGCCCAGGACGGCCAGCGCCGCCGCAUCCCGCCGACGGCCUGCGCCCUGCCAGAUGCGGGCACGAAGCCCGCAUCCGCCGUCAACCGGCACGCCGCCAAGACUCCACCGCGAGGAGGAGGGGAGGACGACGCUGCCAUAGUCUAG
rnacentral:rRNA from 1 species